rnacentral:rRNA from 1 species
CUACGGGGGGCAGCAGUGAGGAAUAUUGCACAAUGGGGGGAACCCUGAUGCAGCAACGCCGCGUGGAGGAUGACGCAUUUCGGUGUGUAAACUCCUUUUAUAUGUCAAGAAAAUGACGGUAGCAUAUGAAUAAGCACCAGCUAACUCCGUGCCAGCAGCCGCGGUAAUACGGAGGGUGCAAGCGUUAGUCGGAAUCACUGGGCGUAAAGGACGCGUAGGCGGGUUGGAAAGUCAGGUGUGAAAUCCUACAGCUUAACUGUAGAACUGCACUUGAAACUUCUAAUCUAGAGUAUGGGAGGGGGAGAUGGAAUUAGUGGUGUAGGAGUAAAAUCCGUAGAUAUCACUAGGAAUACCUAAAGCGAAGGCGAUCUCCUGGAACAUUACUGACGCUAAGGCGUGAAAGCGUGGGGAGCAAACAGGAUUAGAUACCCGGGUAGUC